UACAGUCAUAUCAUAUUGAACACUAGUUCCUGUCUGACCUGCAAAGUUAAGCAACAUCGAGCCUGGACAGCACCUUGAAGGGUGACCACAAGGGAAUACCAGGUGCCGUAA